UUGGAUUUCUAGGCUCGUGAGCCACUGCAUAUGGUUCUUCAUGAAUUGUUGAGUCUGAACAUAGUGAGUUUCCUUGACAUUUCUAUGUUUCAGUUUGGAGGUUUUUGUUUUAUGGAUUUAAACAAUCUUUCUCUUCCUGUCCUUUCUUAGUUUAAAGUAUGAACAUAGACAUUUUUAUUUUCUUUGUUAAUUAGAAUUUGACUCCAUUUAAAAUGUCUUACUUUGCUUGAUUUUAUUUCUUUCACUGUAGGAACAUUAGUUUAUAUUAACUACACAACAUGAGCAAUCUCGCAGUGAUUUUUCCAUACAUGCACAUGAAGAAAUUUGACCACCUUCCAAUCCCUGAUCACACUGGCUCUUGACCAGAUCUUCUAAUUCCCUCAGUGUUUCCAUUUUUUGUUCACUUAGUUUCCAAAUACAAUGCAAAUUACUCCAAGUCUUCCUGCUCAGAAGACUGACAGGAGCUAUUAAAUGGUCUCUUAAGCAAGGUCACCAUUGUGUCUCUAUGCUUCAGAAGAAUGCCUCCUCCUACCUGGUUAUUUUAAGAUCAAAAAGGCAAAAGGCAUGAUUCCAUGUAAGGGGCAAAGGCAAUGCUCAAAUCCCAUUAUUUUGAUGCUAAUUAUGGAAGUGGGCAUCUAUAAAGAAUCCAAAGACAGAAGAAAGUUAAAUCUAAAAAGAGCCUUUUUUUUUAUUUCCAGGAAGAACUUUCCUUGGUGCUCCACCGUAGCCUGGCCCUCUAUCUAUCUGGGUACAUCUGUAUGUAGCUAUCAUUCCAGAGACUAUAGUCUGCCUUAAGGAGGGUGAAUGCUGCACUAAAGCUAGUAUGUUUUUAUGCACAGGAGGUAGAGGCAAUAAUGAUUUUGUUAAACCAAAGUAUCAUGCCUGUGCUCUUGAUUCCUACUAGAUAAGGAGCUCAAAGAACAUGUCCAGGAACAAAAAUUGCCUAAUUUUGGAAUGAUUUGCCUAGCACUACACUGAAUCCACCUCCAAACAUCUGCCUCUUUGGAAAAACACAGGGAAAUUAUAAUGUCAAUGAUUCUCCCUAACUUUACAACCUAGGCUUGAGUAAAAUUCUUCCUCGAAUCUUAGGCUUUUCAUCUGUUAGAAGGGAGACAGUGGGGAGCAAAAACUUCAUGGUACAGCAGCAAAUCCCUCUUCAGGUUCCUUCCUGUUCUCCAAGAUGUUGAUGAGAGGGUGUUUCUAUCUUAUAUGACUUUCUGAUUAGACUACUGGAAAGAAAGGCUUUGGUGCUCAUUGGUGAAAAGUACCUCUGUCUCCCUUUUAUUGUAUAAUGAUUUUGCCUGUUAUAAUUGCUACCUACUGUUUAGUGUGGAAUUUGCCAACAUAUUCUCUGUCUAAAUGACGGUGAACAUUUUAUUAAGAGAGAAUGUUCUCCUAGGACUCUGAUACACUACAGUUCAGUGACUUGGCAUCUAUCAUGUAGCUGGUUCUGGGUGUGUCCAUUGAGGUACCAUUAAUGUAUAAAUUUAAAGACGUGUGAUAGGAGUUGAUGGCAGCAUAACUUCAAGUACAUGGUAAAGGUUGACCACAGCUCUUGCACCUCAGUCAUUGAUGUGACACUCAUCUGUGGCUAUGCCCAUGUAUAACAGCAACCAAUAAUUUUUGAAGCAUUGGGAACAUAGAUCAUGUACAAAACAAAAGCACUCCACUCCUUUCUUUUCUUUUGUUUGCUUUUCUUCUAGGUUUCAUGGUACAGGCUCUUCUGGAGCACAUGCUGGCCUCACCAUCACUAUAUAGCCAAAGUUGGCUUGAAUGUUGCUCAUCAUGCUGCCACUUUCAAAAAUUUUAUAAUUAGUAUGGGCUCAUCUUUAUGAGAUUCUAUUGAUUUUCCCCUUUAAAAAAUGUGUGUAAGCUGACUUUGGAGGGCUCUGAUCAGGCAGGGCACAGCUAAGUUUAUUGUGUCUAGAUGUGUUGUAUGCAUGUCUGUGUUAGGCCAACUGAUUUUUCAAACUUCAACCUCAAUACAGCAAUAGUAAGAUUUUGGAACUCACAAGUAGUAGAGACUUGCUACAGUGCAGAACAUGUGGCCUUUAGCAAAGGGAUCUAUAGAAUGAUUUCAUGCUAUUUUUUGACUAUCUUAGAAUACCUCUACAGUGCCAAUUAAAAACAACUCUGUUAUGCAAUCUGCUACCUUGCUCUUGCCAUGCCAACAUUAAGAUGCACAAGCAAGCAAUUUCUGUUGUUUGUAAGGAGACAACUAAAGCAUAUUUUGAGAGUAGAAGGGCCUAUGUUGCCAGGAUACUGCUCCAUCUUUCACAUCUCUUGUUUAUAGUGUCCUGGCUGACAGGUAUUUCCUUGGUCAUGUUAAACAUGUCAGCCCCCUGUCUAUGGAUCAUGGGCUUUGGUGAGAAGGCUCAGGCCUAAUAAGGACAUGGGAUGAAUGGUGUCCUCUUCUUUGCAGCCCCACAGAUUAUGGUUUCACACCCUGGGGCACUACAAAAAAACAAUAUUUUGUCAUAACUCCCAACUUAGUAAGGAGCUAACGUCCUUUACCAUCCAUUAAUCUUAUUUUAAAAAUAACAAACUGAAUACUUUGAGUAUAGACAUGAAUUACUAAAAAGUUGUAAAAGCUGGAUUCCAAGUGAAAAACAAAACACUCUCCAUCUACUAGCUAGUGUGUACCAGAGCCCAUACAUGAGGACAGACAAAGCUCUGGAGUUCAUUGACAUUCUUAGGAUAUCCGGUUUGAUGUUUAACGUGGAAAGGGUCUGUAUUAAAGUUUCAGUGUCAAAGUUCCCACAGAGUGUCCAGUGUUUGAAUGUUGUUCCCACCCAGUGUCACUUUUUGAGGAAAGUUAAGGGCCUUGGGCUGUGGGACUAGCAGGAAAAAAAAAACAAUGGAUCAAUGGACAAUAUUGGAGACAAACAUUUGAGUGUAAGCAGCCCUCUACUGCCCCACUGAGGAAGAAUCUUGGAAACAGAAAGCCAGAAGAACCAGUGGGCUCUGCCCAGCCACCAUUGGUCCAUUUUUGCUCCGACAUCACAAAGAAGCAUCGUAGGACGUCAUAGAUACCUGUUCACUUACAGAUCUGCCUGAGACUGUCUCCUGUAUCUACAGUACUGAAGUUGGCAUUUGUUUGAAAAACUACUAGAGUCCGAUGCUGCUGGAAGAUUCUACUGGAACUUCCAGGAGCUUUUACACAUUGACAUAGUGCAUUUAUCUCCACUUUGGUCAUAAGUAUACGACCUUCUAGAACUGGAUUUAGGAUACUUGUGGACUACCUGACCUGUAUCCCGAGAACCAAAUACAGGUCCUCUGCAGAAAUCAUAGACAUUGUGGACUCCAAAGCCAGCUCCCCAGCCUGGACCCAGAAAAUCAGCAAUGUGAAAUCACUUGACCAUCCUAACUUUAUCAAGCUGUUUCACAUGGUCAGACAAGAGAAAACACCUACCAGUUGAAGGAUAAUGCCUCGGAUGGAGAGAUACUAGAACAAGUCAUUGAAGGUGGGGUCUUUAGAGGAAAGUCUCUAUGCAAGGUUCAAAGGAUGUUUGCUGAGAUAGUACAUGCUGUGCAGUACUGCCAUGACCAUCACAUUUUCCACAGAGACAUAAAGACCAGCAAGCUGUUAAUCGACAGCAGUAGGAACGCCAAGCUGUGUGAUUUUGGCCUGGGCAGAAGCUAGCAGAUUUCUGGGACACACUUCCUUACAGUGCCCCAGAAUUUUAGCAAGCACAGGAACAUGAGAGCUGCCCUGUGGAUAUCUGGAGUUUUGGGGUCCUCCUGUUCUUCAAGGUGGCCAGGAUCUCAACUUUCUGAGGCAAGUAUUUUGCAGGUGUGAAACUGCAGAUUAUCAAGCACCACAAACUUUAGCAUUCCUUUUUAUGUUUCCAUUUAUUUUUUAAGGUCAUCAUUGAACUAUUGAUUGUCAAUUCCAGAAGAAAUCCCACCAUCCACAAAAUCAUGAUGUGCCUCAUGAUUAGUGAAAGUGAGGCAUGUUUAUUACCUCCUUCCUGUGUAUUUCUGCUUUGAAGUUUUGAAGAGGACCAGAAACCAGAGAGUAGGAAUGUACAGGCUCUUUUAACAAUUUUAUGGUAAAUAUAAUCCCCGUAUCAGCAUCUGACUGAAACAUUCUAAGACCCCAAGUAUAUCCAUGUGUCCAAUCCUGGUUUCAAACCGUGGAGGUAAAUUUAAUAUUUAGGGGAAUGCACCAUUCCCUUGUUUUAGAAUUAGAACCUCUACAACGGGAAUCUGGGACAUGUAUAUUAGUAGGAGGGGGGAGCAAUUAUAAGUCAAACAACACAAUGUAUUAGGUGAUAAAAUUCUUAAGAACAGGAGAAAGGGGCCAGGCAAGAAAGCUAGAGGGUGGCCCGUUGAGAGCUGGUGGAACAACGAGAUCAGGUGAUAAAUAGCUUUCAGUCACACAGCUAAACAAAUGAGGAAGCUUUCUUGGGACAAAAAGGCCAGUGCAAAAAGGAGCGCAAGCUUUGUGCCUGUGAUACAGAAAGGCAAGCACAUACACCUCUUGCACACUCACACCUGUAUACACCUUAUUGAUUCUGUGAGACUGGUGUCCAGCCAGCUCUAAGAUCUGUCUGUCUCCCUCAUACUCCACGAUACUGAGGUUACAGACACAUCGGCACCAUGCCUAAUUUGCAGGUGGGUUCUGGGCAUUUGAACUCAGGUCCUCAUCCUUGCACAAAAGUCAUUUCACCACUGAGCCAUCUCUUCUGUCCCUCUAAUUUGUUGACCUUAGACAAAAGCCUGGCAGCUUAAAACAAAGGUUUUGCAUACCACAU